CCUGGCUCAGGAUGAACGCUAGCUACAGGCUUAACACAUGCAAGUCGAGGGGCAGCAUGGUCUUAGCUUGCUAAGACUGAUGGCGACCGGCGCACGGGUGAGUAACACGUAUCCAACCUGCCGUCUACUCUUGGACAGCCUUCUGAAAGGAAGAUUAAUACAAGAUGGCAUCAUGAGUCCGCAUGUUCACAUGAUUAAAGGUAUUCCGGUAGACGAUGGGGAUGCGUUCCAUUAGAUAGUAGGCGGGGUAACGGCCCACCUAGUCUUCGAUGGAUAGGGGUUCUGAGAGGAAGGUCCCCCACAUUGGAACUGAGACACGGUCCAAACUCCUACGGGAGGCAGCAGUGAGGAAUAUUGGUCAAUGGGCGAGAGCCUGAACCAGCCAAGUAGCGUGAAGGAUGACUGCCCUAUGGGUUGUAAACUUCUUUUAUAAAGGAAUAAAGUCGGGUAUGGAUACCCGUUUGCAUGUACUUUAUGAAUAAGGAUCGGCUAACUCCGUGCCAGCAGCCGCGGUAAUACGGAGGAUCCGAGCGUUAUCCGGAUUUAUUGGGUUUAAAGGGAGCGUAGAUGGAUGUUUAAGUCAGUUGUGAAAGUUUGCGGCUCAACCGUAAAAUUGCAGUUGAUACUGGAUAUCUUGAGUGCAGUUGAGGCAGGCGGAAUUCGUGGUGUAGCGGUGAAAUGCUUAGAUAUCACGAAGAACUCCGAUUGCGAAGGCAGCCUGCUAAGCUGCAACUGACAUUGAGGCUCGAAAGUGUGGGUAUCAAACAGGAUUAGAUACCCUGGUAGUCCACACGGUAAACGAUGAAUACUCGCUGUUUGCGAUAUACUGCAAGCGGCCAAGCGAAAGCGUUAAGUAUUCCACCUGGGGAGUACGCCGGCAACGGUGAAACUCAAAGGAAUUGACGGGGGCCCGCACAAGCGGAGGAACAUGUGGUUUAAUUCGAUGAUACGCGAGGAACCUUACCCGGGCUUAAAUUGCAGAUGAAUUACGGUGAAAGCCGUAAGCCGCAAGGCAUCUGUGAAGGUGCUGCAUGGUUGUCGUCAGCUCGUGCCGUGAGGUGUCGGCUUAAGUGCCAUAACGAGCGCAACCCUUGUUGUCAGUUACUAACAGGUUCCGCUGAGGACUCUGACGAGACUGCCAUCGUAAGAUGUGAGGAAGGUGGGGAUGACGUCAAAUCAGCACGGCCCUUACGUCCGGGGCUACACACGUGUUACAAUGGGGGGUACAGAGGGCCGCUACCACGCGAGUGGAUGCCAAUCCCCAAAACCUCUCUCAGUUCGGACUGGAGUCUGCAACCCGACUCCACGAAGCUGGAUUCGCUAGUAAUCGCGCAUCAGCCACGGCGCGGUGAAUACGUUCCCGGGCCUUGUACACACCGCCC
rnacentral:rRNA from 1 species